ACACGGAGGUCGCAAGCGUUGCUCGGAAUCACUGGGCGUAAAGCGGGUGUAGGCGGUCUAGCAAGUCAGAUGUGAAAGCCCACGGCUCAUCCGUGGAAGUGCAUCUGAAACUGCUAGACUUGAGUGCCGGAGAGGGAAGUGGAAUUCCUGGUGUAGGGGUGAAAUCCGUAGAUAUCAGGAGGAACACCGGUGGCGAAGGCGACUUCCUGGACGGCCACUGACGCUGAGACCCGAAAGCGUGGGGAGCAAACAGGAUUAGAAACCCCUGUAGUCC
rnacentral:rRNA from 1 species